AUUGAACGCUGGCGGCAUGCCUUACACAUGCAAGUCGAACGGCAGCACGGGAGCAAUCCUGGUGGCGAGUGGCGAACGGGUGAGUAAAGUAUCGGAACGUGCCCAGUCGUGGGGGAUAACGUAGCGAAAGUUACGCUAAUACCGCAUACGAUCUAUGGAUGAAAGCGGGGGAUCGCAAGACCUCGCGCGAUUGGAGCGGCCGAUAUCAGAUUAGGUAGUUGGUGGGGUAAAGGCUCACCAAGCCGACGAUCUGUAGCUGGUAUGAGAGGACGACCAGCAACACUGGGACUGAGACACGGCCCAGACUCCUACGGGAGGCAGCAGUGGGGAAUUUUGGACAAUGGGCGAAAGCCUGAUCCAGCCAUGCCGCGUGAAGGAUGAAGGCCUUCGGGUUGUAAACUGCUUUUGUACGGAACGAAAAGGUUUGGCCUAAUAAGCUGAGCUCAUGACGGUACCGUAAGAAUAAGCACCGGCUAACUACGUGCCAGCCGCCGCCGUAA
rnacentral:rRNA from 1 species